UGCACUGCAUGGUAUCUGCAUUCAGCAGUGUAUUCCUGCUGGGUGUUCAAAGGACAGUGCGAUAUAAAUUCAGUAUCUGGCAUCGUUGGUUUUCUUUGCUUCGUGCAUGUUAAACCUGGUAUUUUUAUUGAUACAGUA
ensembl:snoRNA SNORA8 small nucleolar RNA, H/ACA box 8